rnacentral:rRNA from 1 species
GGCGACCAUAGCAAGAGUGAACCACCUGAUCCCUUCCCGAACUCAGAAGUGAAACCUCUUAGCGCUGAUGGUAGUGUGGGGUUUCCCAUGUGAGAGUAAGUCAUCGCCAGCUCA